rnacentral:rRNA from 1 species
AACGGAGGGGAGCAAGUGUUUACUCAUCGUAACUGGGUGUAAAACGUCUGUAGAUGGUUUUUUUAAGUUUUUUAUCUAAAAUUCGUGUAAAAGCGUUAUAUUUAUUUAAUACUAUUAAACUAGAGUUUAUUAGAUCAUAGCGGUGCCUUGUGUGUAAAAGUGAAAUUUGUAAAAACACAAGGAACGAACAUUUUGGCGAAGGCAGCUAUUAAUAGUAAACUGACAUUGAGAGACAAAAGUAUGGGGAGCAAACGGG